GGCUAGCCGUGCAUAUCCGUGUAAGCAAAGUAGCCCAAAGCGAGUCUUCCUCUUUCAACGAGUGUUUCAGUGGCGCGCGUUGCAGCCGGAGGAGGGGAAGGAGCCUGCUGAGGAAGCGGUUGUGUGAUUGGCGGCGCGGGCUGAGUGAGAAUGUGUUACGAGGCAGCGUGGAUCUUCUCAGCCCUCGAGUGGCACAAGGAGGUGUGGACGACUGCCUGCCAUGGACGAGGAAGCCGACCAGAACGAGCUCCCCGCCGCGGCCCAGACAAAGGCGCCACGAGGUUAUCGGGAAAAGCUUCUUCACGAGAGAGUCACGAAAACGAGACUCACCCAGGGACGGGCACGCUCAGGCAAGGGACCCGACAGUAGACAGGCCUUUAUUAUGAAAAUUUUGGCCCUUGAAAUAGGUGUAAGGUGAAGCAUUUA